rnacentral:rRNA from 1 species
AAGAGUACGUGAACCCGUUCAGGGGUAACCCUGUGAAACCCAAAAGAUCGAAUGAGGAGAUUCAUCGUCAGCGUAUUCAGUAUUAAUGCAGGCUAUGAUGUGAUAAUAGAAUCCUUGUGGUCACUAAAUUAUACUUGCUUGUAUUAUUUUUGCUGGAUAUGUCGUCGUGCACUUCUCCUCUAGUAGAACGUCGCAACCCGUUGAAUGUUUAUCUAUGGCUUGAAUGGUAGCCUUUGAUAUUUUAUAUAUCGAAGACCUUUGAUGUUCUGAUAAACUGUUUGACGGUAUACAUAUGGUAUUGAGCCGCAAUUAUUUGCGUUAGACUUACCGCAAGUAUGACUUUAUUCUAGUAGUGCGGAUCUAAUGGCGUCGCUGGACAAAGCCUGGUGGUAGCUGGGGAAUGGCUUUAACUGGGUUAUUUACCGGUUAGCGAUGCUACUGGUUUGGGGAC